GUUAAGCGACUAAGCGUACACGGUGGAUGCCCUGGCAGUCAGAGGCGAUGAAGGACGUGCUAAUCUGCGAUAAGCGUCGGUAAGGUGAUAUGAACCGUUAUAACCGGCGAUUUCCGAAUGGGGAAACCCAGUGUGAUUCGUCACACUAUCAUUAACUGAAUCCAUAGGUUAAUGAGGCGAACCGGGGGAACUGAAACAUCUAAGUACCCCGAGGAAAAGAAAUCAACCGAGAUUCCCCCAGUAGCGGCGAGCGAACGGGGAGCAGCCCAGAGCCUGAAUCAGUGUGUGUGUUAGUGGAAGCGUCUGGAAAGGCGCGCGAUACAGGGUGACAGCCCCGUACACAAAAAUGCACAUACUGUGAGCUCGAUGAGUAGGGCGGGACACGUGGUAUCCUGUCUGAAUAUGGGGGGACCAUCCUCCAAGGCUAAAUACUCCUGACUGACCGAUAGUGAACCAGUACCGUGAGGGAAAGGCGAAAAGAACCCCGGCGAGGGGAGUGAAAAAGAACCUGAAACCGUGUACGUACAAGCAGUGGGAGCCUCUUUAUGGGGUGACUGCGUACCUUUUGUAUAAUGGGUCAGCGACUUAUAUUCUGUAGCAAGGUUAACCGAAUAGGGGAGCCGAAGGGAAACCGAGUCUUAACUGGGCGUUAAGUUGCAGGGUAUAGACCCGAAACCCGGUGAUCUAGCCAUGGGCAGGUUGAAGGUUGGGUAACACUAACUGGAGGACCGAACCGACUAAUGUUGAAAAAUUAGCGGAUGACUUGUGGCUGGGGGUGAAAGGCCAAUCAAACCGGGAGAUAGCUGGUUCUCCCCGAAAGCUAUUUAGGUAGCGCCUCGUGAAUUCAUCUCCGGGGGUAGAGCACUGUUUCGGCAAGGGGGUCAUCCCGACUUACCAACCCGAUGCAAACUGCGAAUACCGGAGAAUGUUAUCACGGGAGACACACGGCGGGUGCUAACGUCCGUCGUGAAGAGGGAAACAACCCAGACCGCCAGCUAAGGUCCCAAAGUCAUGGUUAAGUGGGAAACGAUGUGGGAAGGCCCAGACAGCCAGGAUGUUGGCUUAGAAGCAGCCAUCAUUUAAAGAAAGCGUAAUAGCUCACUGGUCGAGUCGGCCUGCGCGGAAGAUGUAACGGGGCUAAACCAUGCACCGAAGCUGCGGCAGCG
rnacentral:rRNA from 1 species